AAAACUUACGGGUUCUAUUGAAUGUUUGGUUGAAAAUAUUUUUGGGGAAAGUGAUUUUUAAAAAAUCUCUCCCAAACAAAACCCGUAAGUUCAUAUUUUAUUGUUAUACCCCUCUCUAGACAUUUGAUUUAUUGGGGUUCAGUCAUUUUUUAGAUUUCCAUUUCGGAUAUGAAUUUGCAAGAGUAUUAGAUUAGAUGUCUCUUGCUCUAAUCCACAUGAUACUUUACAAAUGUUACCUGUUAUGGCUGUCGGAUAUGGAUUUUUUAGGACUAAAUCCACACGUAAAGCUUGACUAAUGUUCGUUGCUGUUUUGUUAGCGUGGUUAUUGUUGCUUGAGUAUUACAAUCAACUGUUGCUUGACAUAUUUCUGAUGAAACUUGUUUUGUUGACACGCGCUAACAAUCUCUAUCCUUUCUCUGUGUAGUAUCUAGUUUUUUAUUAGUGUAAUAACAUUUCUUUCACAAAUCUUUUGAUUUGAUGCAGUGCCAUCUUAAUUCUGUUGAUGUGUUAUUGGCAACAUGCACCAGUCCUUGUGUGAAAGAUGGGAAGAACUAGUUCAUUGAACCUUGGUUCAUGGAUUUCUUUGAAUCUCCAAACCCAGUUAAUUGGAAGACAUUGAUGUUCUCCUUGUCUGUGCUCGACGCCAUAGAAAAUUGUACAACUUUGUUAAAUUUGCCUGGCUUUGUACUAAUAAUUUGGUGACAUUAUACCUUGCUCUGGAUUUAUCUUUACCUGGUUAGGUUGUUUAAUGUACUGAGGAGAGUAUUUUCGAGAGAAGCAAAAUCAGUAAACAGCCACAAAUGGGUGGUGGCUCGACUUUACUGCGUUCAUUUCAAGUAGUUGGCACAAGUACUCAGAUUUGUUAGAUUGUGGGCUCCAUUUUAAAUAUAUAUUCGGUUAAGUUGCGUAGAUGCUAUAUAUUUGCUGAACAAGGUAGGCCUCUGGGUUUACUUUGUGCUUUUUUGAGUUCAUAUAACUUGCAAGGCAGUCUUUCAUUAGUAAUUUGAUUGCUAUAAUUUAUAAUUAUUGGGAACUUUAAAAUUUCUUGAUGUUCAAAUUUAUGAGAAAAGUGGGUCUUACUUAUGAGUGAAGAAGUCAAAAAUGACGGUCGGAAUUGUGAAAUAAUG
rnacentral:lncRNA from 1 species